rnacentral:ncRNA from 2 species
UACGUGCUUCGGGGUCAGUGAAAGUCUGAACCGGCGGUGAUAGUCCGCGACCCGCGCGCCUCGCGCGGUUGAAUCGGUGAAAUUCCGAUACCGACGGUUAAAGUCCGGAUGGGAGAAGCUCGUU